rnacentral:rRNA from 1 species
ACGAACGCUGGCGGCGUGCCUAAUACAUGCAAGUCGAACGCUUUUUCUUUCACCGGAGCUUGCUCCACCGAAAGAAAAGGAGUGGCGAACGGGUGAGUAACACGUGGGUAACCUGCCCAUCAGAAGGGGAUAACACUUGGAAACAGGUGCUAAUACCGUAUAACAAUCGAAACCGCAUGGUUUCGGUUUGAAAGGCGCUUUUGCGUCACUGAUGGAUGGACCCGCGGUGCAUUAGCUAGUUGGUGAGGUAACGGCUCACCAAGGCAACGAUGCAUAGCCGACCUGAGAGGGUGAUCGGCCACAUUGGGACUGAGACACGGCCCAAACUCCUACGGGAGGCAGCAGUAGGGAAUCUUCGGCAAUGGACGCAAGUCUGACCGAGCAACGCCGCGUGAGUGAAGAAGGUUUUCGGAUCGUAAAACUCUGUUGUUAGAGAAGAACAAGGAUGAGAGUAGAAUGUUCAUCCCUUGACGGUAUCUAACCAGAAAGCCACGGCUAACUACGUGCCAGCAGCCGCGGUAAUACGUAGGUGGCAAGCGUUGUCCGGAUUUAUUGGGCGUAAAGCGAGCGCAGGCGGUUUCUUAAGUCUGAUGUGAAAGCCCCCGGCUCAACCGGGGAGGGUCAUUGGAAACUGGGAAACUUGAGUGC